ensembl:lncRNA
GGACACCUCAGUCAUGGACUGUCAGUACUGGGGAUCGAACCAGCAACCUUCUGGUUACAGGGCCAGUUCCCUAACCUUCAGCCCAGGGUUUCUGAGUAAAAGCGCUGUGGGUCGGCGAGGGCAGCCGCAGGCUUGUGUGGUCCUGUAGAGGUUUGGUGAGGUGUAGUCUGGGUUAGAAUCAGCGGUUCUCCACCAUGGUCCUGAAGUCACCCCUGUUCUGCACAGAUUUGUGGUGUCCAGCUAUAACAAGCUCAAACUCAGCUCAGGAAGGGCUUGUUGUUUAGCCAGUUAGCUGGCUCAGCAGUUUUAGAGCAGGAAACAAUAACAUGUGCUGGACAGGAGAACAGAGUUCAGAACCACUGGAAUAAAGUGACCGCAGUGCGCGCUCAGUAGAAAUGGACACUGGUUGAAUGAUCAAACACAACGAGAUGUCUUUCACAUUAAUGCUCUCCACUGCAGAGCCGAGUGGACCAUCUCUCUGUGACAGAGGCUCUUCUUUUUCCUUUUGUGUUGUGACAGAGAUAUUCUGUCACCAAAUGUCACCCCCCCUCUCUCUCCCUCUCUCUCUCCCUCACUCCCUCUCCCUCUCUCUCUCUGCACCUCUCUCCCUCACUCCCUCUCCCUCUCUCUCUCCACCUCUCUCCCUCACUCCCUCUCCCUCUCUCUCUCUGCACCUCUCUCCCUCACUCCCUCUCCCUCUCUCUCUCUCCACCUCUCUCCCUCACUCCCUCUCCCUCUCUCUCUCUCUGCACCUCUCUCCCUCACUCCCUCUCCCUCUCUCUCUCUCCCCACCUAUCUCCCUCUCUCCCUCUCCCUCUCUCUCUGCACCUCUCUCCCUCACUCCCUCUCCCUCUCUCUCUCUCCACCUCUCUCCCUCACUCCCUCUCCCUCUCUCUCUCUCCCUCUCUCUCUCCCUCACUCCCUCUCCCUCUCUCUCUCUGCACCUCUCUCCCUCACUCCCUCUCCCUCUCUCUCUCCACCUCUCUCCCUCACUCCCUCUCCCUCUCUCUCUCUCUGCACCUCUCUCCCUCACUCCCUCUCCCUCUCUCUCUCUGCACCUCUCUCCCUCACUCCCUCUCCCUCUCUCUCUCUCUGCACCUCUCUCCCUCACUCCCUCUCCCUCUCUCUCUCUCUGCACCUCUCUCCCUCACUCCCUCUCCCUCUCUCUCUCUGCACCUCUCUCCCUCACUCCCUCUCCCUCUCUCUCUCCCCACCUCUCUCCCUCACUCCCUCUCCCUCUCUCUCUCUCCACCUCUCUCCCUCACUCCCUCUCCCUCUCUCUCUCUCCACCUCUCUCCCUCACUCCCUCUCCCUCUCUCUCUCCACCUCUCUCCCUCACUCCCUCUCCCUCUCUCUCUCCACCUCUCUCCCUCACUCCCUCUCCCUCUCUCUCGCCACCUCUCUCCCUCACUCCCUCUCCCUCUCUCUCUCUCUCCCUCUCUCUGUCCCCCCUUUCUCUCUCUCUCUCCCUCUCCCACUCACUGCCCCCCCUCUCUCCCUCCUUCCUUCUCUCUCUCUCCUUCCCUCCUUCUCUCUCUCUCUUUCUCCCCCCCUUCCUUCUGCCCCCUCCCUCCCUUAAAAACAACACAUUCUGUCUCUGAACAGACACAUCAGUGUAUUCAGUUGGAGACACAAUUUGUUUUACUUUUAAGACUAAAUAUUUUGAAAUAUUUCUAUACCCAGUUAUGAAAAACACAGUUUGGGUCCUUUUUAAACACAGC